UACCCAGUUCAGAUUGCAGGCUGCAACUCGCCUGUAUGAAGUUGGAAUUGCUAGUAAUCGCGGAUCAGCAUGCCGCGGUGAAUACGUUCCCGGGUCUUGUACACACCGCCCGUCACACCAUGGGAGUCGGAAAUGCCCGAAGCCAGUGACCCAACCCAUAAGGAGGGAGCUGUCGAAGGUGGAGCCGGUGACUGGGGUGAAGUCGUAACAAGGUACC
rnacentral:rRNA from 1 species